UGAAGAUCCAUUUCUCCCUGCCUGAGACUGCACUGACAUUUCAACAACCAUAAGCAUGAUUUUGUCUGAGGAGAGUGAUGACGAUGAUGAUGACGACGAUGAUGACGACGAUGAUGACGUAUGGAUCUGUAGUCUGUUUCCAAGGACAGACAGAUAGCAGGCUAGAUCCACUGUUGAGGAUUCAUUCUCAACCAGUCGAAAAGACUACCCAAAGCACCUCCCACACCAAGUAUCUUCAUCUUCAUGAACAUUAACAUGUUUGAGGAGAUUGAUGGACCUUGCAAAAUUCUUGCUCUUCAGUGGCAUUCUUACUGUUCAGCAGUAGUGUCAUCAUUUUGUUUCAGAAUGGCUCUGCAUUGCAGUGUCAGUUUGUCAAACUAUGAAGAUAAGAAUGAUAUACACUUUGAGAUGGGAUGACCGGAUGGUUGGAAUAUGGAUUUUUCCAUCCAGCUGUCUGAAUGUAUGACUGACUGUUUCUUAUAGCAGUCUUGAUAUACAAAGAUGGACAUUUCUACUAUGUAAAUAAAUUACAUUUAAUGUGUUUUGCAUAUAUAUGCAUAAAGGGGGGUAAAUGCAUUUUUGCAAUUCAGGCGUAUUUGUAGUAAAGACCUGACAGGAAGAUGCACUCUUAAAAACAAAGGAACUUUAUUGACAGGUUCUCUGUAUGGUUCAAUAAAGAACCAUGAACAUUCAUGAAAGCUCUUCACAAUUAUUACUAUUUUACUACAAAUGGCCAAAAAUCUAACUGGAUUGAGGACUGUCAGAUGUUUCUGAAAGUAAAUGCUGCAUUAUGUUCAACUAUAUCAUAAAAAAAAUGGAAAAUUAAAAUAUAUAGCCUAUGUAUUUUUUUGAAAUCAAAUUCACUUUCAUUCUCAACAUUUUAAUUUGUAAAUAAAAGAAAACAAAUUUAAAAACAAAUUAAUACAUUAUUAAAAUAUGCUUAAAUAAUAUGUCAUCCCCACCCUUCUUUUGAUAUGGCAUUUUGGGCCAAAUCAAAGGUCAUUAGUUUAGUUUGGGCCUCUCUGUUGUUGCAAAACCCUUUUUUGGAACCUUUAUUUUUAAGAGUGUCGGGUUCUCAGCCAAAACUUUUGUGGUAAGUUAAUCCACUGGUUCAUGUCUUACGGUACACAGUAUGACCCACUGCUGUAACUUUGUUUUAGCUACUUUAACAGUGCUGUUAAAUAUAAGUUACUAUAUGAAAGUAUCUCAGAUCAUCUACCAAAAAAUUUUAUUUUCUUGGACCUGAUCUGAGAUGGUCUCUUAUAGCCUACUAUUUUAGAAUAUACAGUAACAACUUGGUUAUGUAGCAUAUGGGAUCAUUAGGAAGAAGUGAACUCUUUAGAUAAAACAAUGUUGAUUAAUUGUAACCAAAAAAAAUUAUAUGAAUGUUUCACUGUCUAAUGAGCUACAAGUAGAACUCCCUUCAUAAAUAAAUAAAUAAUAUAGA